AUAUAUAUUAUACUUAUUGUUGCCACGUUAUAAUUAUAAGGAAAUGUAAUGCCUUGAAAACAAUAUUUUUUUAGUGGAGUACACGUGGCAGCUAGUCUUUGGGCCAAGGCUAAAUGCACAAAAAUAAACUUUUGUAAAAACUUUGCACUCUCAUGUUCUUUCACGACACUUCCUCAUAAAACACAACUCUUCUUCUUUUCUUCUUCAUUGUUCCACUUUCCAUCCAUCCAAACUCAAAUUUUCACCGUUUGUUUCUUGAAUUGAAGUUACCCAAGCCUUUAGGGCUUCAAGAGGAGCAUUCUCACCGAUUGAAUCUUCGUUUCAUCCAAUGGGUAAGAAAACCCCUUUCUCCAUUUUUCCCUAGGAUUGUAAACAUGCAAUUUCUUGCUACAAGCAACCCAUUUCGUUUUCUUCCAUAAUCUAGCUUCUAUUUGGUUCUAAAAUUCGUUUUCCAUCAUCAAUUGGUGAUUCAUAGGUGAUUCUCAUACUUUGGGGUUUCAAGCAAAGUGGUUUAGAGUUCCUACUUGAGUUUGGUUGUCUACACUAGAGAUAAGGGGAGCUAGAUACUGUUUUUCAUUGUUUGUAUGAACUGUGCAUGUGUUGAAAUCUGUAUUAUUUUCUGGUUUGAUGAACAAUUGUGUUUGGUGUGAAAGUAUGUUGUAUGUAAUUGAAUGAGAAAUCGCGGAACUAUGAAUUAGUGUUGUGAAUAUGUAAUUUAGAGGAGAAGUGUGGUUGUGAUUGAGUUAUUAGUAAGGUGAAUCUGUUUCAAGAACUAUUAGGUAGAGUGUUAAGUGAAUUUAUAGUGUUUGGGGCAAAAUAGAGGAAGUGAGGGAGUGAUUUUGAGAAGUUGAUGUCUGAAGUAUAAUUGGUCUAUUGGGACACUGUUAGUAAGUCUAUUGUGACUUAAUAGAAUCAUAGAAAUUGUUAAAAUGAGGUCCUAGACGCUAGAAGUGGAAUUGAGUCCUUAGGUUGAGGAAAAACUAGUGUUUUGGGUGAGUUUAGAGGAAGUGAGGUAGUGGUUUUGAGCUCUAGGGGCUAUAACUUGAAUUAGGCAGUUAAGACAACUUAUGUAAGUUCAAAGUGACUUGUGAGAAGUGUCAAAAUAGCCAAGAACAGUCCUCAAGUGUUAAAUCUAGGUUUGAGCCCAUAAGUUGAGAGAAUUGAGGUUUUUGAGUGUAAAUCUAUGCAUAGUUGUUAGGAAUUGAGGUUAGGAAUGUUUAUACACCUUUAGACAAGUUUAAAUACACCUAAAUUUCGAGUUAUAAUGAUUAGAAAUUCAUAAAAAGGUCUAAAACGGAAUUUAGGGGUGUGAGUUGUGCAAAAUAUGCAUAAAACCUGCAGAAUCCACGUUGGGCGCCACCUAACUGGCGUUGGGCGCAUUUGGUUCUGUUUCCUGGCGCUGGGCGCAAUUCAGCACACUAUUUCUGCUGUCAUUUUUGUUUUUGACGUUUCGGGAGUUCCGGACAUCCGUUUUGGACGUUCUUUAGGUCGUUCUGGGGGUUUUUGACCCUUCCGGAACCAUUGGUGAGGGUCCCAAGGCUGUUUGAAUUACUUAAGUAUUGAUAAUUAAAUAUCAUAAAGAAAUUUGUGGUAAUAAGUGAUGGUUUUGUGAAAGUAUGUAAUGUAUGAGUUGUUUUAUGACAUGGUCAAUGUUGUGUGAUGGUGUAUGGGUAUGGUAUGAGCCAAUAUAGUAAGAAUGUACUUGAAUGACUAUGAAAUUUUAUGUUUGAUGAAGCAAAGUGGUUUAUGAGGUACAUUAUUGAUUCAAGAGGAAUAUUAGGUGAUUUGAAGUGGUCGGAUUGAAUAUGAAAUUAAGAUCUCUCGGUGAGAUCAGUUAGUGUAUUGAAUGUAUGUAAGAGGCUUCCACUAUGGGGGGUUAUCCCUAACACUCUAACGGUCUUUCAUUCUCACUUAGAGAGGAUUGACGCGUGUGGUGAGAGUAGUGGGAGGUCCUAGGGUAGGCGUUAUCAUUGGAGGUCUAUUCUGCGGUAACGGACCAGCCUUGUGUGUGGUCGGGUGAAACCCCUCGGCAAUGGCUUUGCAAAGCAGUAGAGGCCACCACAAGUGCANNNNNNNNNNNNNNNNNNNNNNNNNNNNNNNNNNNNNNNNAUGUUUAAGUGUGUAUGAACGUUCUUGCAAUGAAUUGUAUGAUUGUUUGAGACCUAGCUCACCCUUGCACUUGCAUGUUUGUAUGUGUUUGCCUUCCCCCUUGCGAUGAUCAUCCAAUCCUUUGGAUGUGAGCAGUAGGUGAUGAGGUACCCUUGGAGCAGGCGUGGGAGACUGAGGAAGAUCCAGCCCCUAGUACUUAGGACGUUUAUUAGUUCUUAUUUCAAUAGCUUGUUAAUUUUUGGAAACACUCUCUAGGCAUCCUUCGAUCUUUAGUUUAUUAUGUAUUUUGGAGAACUUUGGGGAACUUGUACUCAAGUCUUAUUUCAUUUUAAUUUCCACUAAAUUUCGGAUGACUGUAUAAAUAUUUAAAUAUUGUCCACUUUAUCUCUUAACUGCUUUCACAUAUUGUAAUAGCCGAAUCCUAUUAUAUUAUAUGUGAAUAUGAUAUUUGGGAUGUCACAGGAAACAUCUAUUUGGAGAUCUUUUCAAAAUAACAAUAAUUUUUUAAUGUAUUUAAUACAAUGACCGAAUUUAAUCUAAUUAAUUUAAUUAGCUUUAGAUGAAAGUUAGAUUAAAAUUAUCCUAAAGAAAAAAGUCAAACCUCAUGCCAGCAUAUAGUUUAGAUAAUUCUAAAAGUUUUCAAAACAGAACCGGGGG
rnacentral:lncRNA from 1 species